CCCGGCGGUGCAGCUGCGUCCCCCCGUGGGCCCGCAUAGAGCCGCUCAGCGCGUCAGUCAUGGGCGCCUGCUCCACUGGCCCUGCUGCUGCUCUGUACAGGUCCCCGCUGUCGCGUUCCGUCCAACUGCUGUGAAGCGGGAGUCAGUGGAGCAGCGCCUCUCCAGGGAUAUCCCACCUCCCGCCAGAGCCCCUGUUCGCAGUGGGCAGGUCCUGGGAGUCCACGCGCCGCUGCACAGCAGCACACAGCUCAUUCAGUGACUCAGAUAUGGAUUUCAACUUCCAUGCCGGCUAGUUGUGGCCUUCAUUCUUUUGUGCUUUUCAGGAGUAAAGCUUACUAGUUAAGACAGCA